UAACUGAAGAGUUUGAUCAUGGCUCAGAUUGAACGCUGGCGGCAGGCUUAACACAUGCAAGUCGAGCGGGGGAAGGUAGCUUGCUACCGGACCUAGCGGCGGACGGGUGAGUAAUGCUUAGGAAUCUGCCUAUUAGUGGGGGACAACAUCUCGAAAGGGAUGCUAAUACCGCAUACGUCCUACGGGAGAAAGCAGGGGAUCUUCGGACCUUGCGCUAAUAGAUGAGCCUAAGUCGGAUUAGCUAGUUGGUGGGGUAAAGGCCUACCAAGGCGACGAUCUGUAGCGGGUCUGAGAGGAUGAUCCGCCACACUGGGACUGAGACACGGCCCAGACUCCUACGGGAGGCAGCAGUGGGGAAUAUUGGACAAUGGGGGGAACCCUGAUCCAGCCAUGCCGCGUGUGUGAAGAAGGCCUUAUGGUUGUAAAGCACU
rnacentral:rRNA from 1 species